UCGAACGAGAGAAGAGAAGCUUGCUUUUCUGAUCUAGUGGCGGACGGCUGAGUAACACGUGAGCAAUCUGCCUUUCAGAGGGGGAUACCGAUUGGAAACGAUCGUUAAUACCGCAUAACAUAAUUGAACCGCAUGAUUUGAUUAUCAAAGAUUUAUCGCUGAAAGAUGAGCUCGCGUCUGAUUAGCUAGUUGGUAAGGUAACGGCUUACCAAGGCGACGAUCAGUAGCCGGACUGAGAGGUUGAUCGGCCACAUUGGGACUGAGACACGGCCCAGACUCCUACGGGAGGCAGCAGUGGGGAAUAUUGCACAAUGGAGGAAACUCUGAUGCAGCGAUGCCGCGUGAGGGAAGAAGGUUUUAGGAUUGUAAACCUCUGUCUUCAGGGACGAAAAAAGACGGUACCUGAGGAGGAAGCUCCGGCUAACUACGUGCCAGCAGCCGCGGUAAUACGUAGGGAGCGAGCGUUGUCCGGAAUUACUGGGUGUAAAGGGAGCGUAGGCGGGAUCGCAAGUCAGAUGUGAAAACUAUGGGCUUAACCCAUAAACUGCAUUUGAAACUGUGGUUCUUGAGUGAAGUAGAGGUAAGCGGAAUUCCUAGUGUAGCGGUGAAAUGCGUAGAUAUUAGGAGGAACAUCAGUGGCGAAGGCGGCUUACUGGGCUUUAACUGACGCUGAGGCUCGAAAGCGUGGGGAGCAAACAGGAUUAGAUACCCUGGUAGUCCACGCCGUAAACGAUGAUUACUAGGUGUGGGGGGACUGA
rnacentral:rRNA from 1 species